rnacentral:lncRNA from 1 species
UCUCGGCUCGGUGUCGUUCACGCCGCGGGCUGGACGGCUCUGCGGAACCGCCCGUAGUUGCGGUUAUCCGUCAGAUCGAACGGGUUAACCGCGUUCUCUUCCCAGUUCGCGUCGCGGCGGAACCGCCCGUAGUUGUUGUUGUCCGCAAGGUCGAACGGGUUGAACGCCUUCUCUUCCCAGUUGGCGUCGCGGCGGAAUCGACCGAAGUUGUUGUUGUCCGCGAGCGAAAACGGGUUCUUCCAGUCGAAACCCGACACGGGGGCCAUGUCUUCGGCGGCGGCGACGUCGGUCUCUUUCGCGCCGCGGCGGAACCGUCCGUAGUUGUUGUUGUUCUCGAGGUCGAACGGGUUGAACGCCUUCUCUUCCCAGUCCGCGUCGCGGCGGAACCGUCCGAAGUUGUUGUUGUCCGCGAGCGAGAACGGGUUCUUCAGAACGAAACCCGACACGGGGGCCAUGUCUUUGGCGGCGGUUUGCGGCUUCUCGCGGCGGAACCGCCCGACGUUCGCCUUCUGCGUCACCUGCCUCAGCGCCGCCGGGUCGCCUUUAACGAACCCGUCGUGCGAAAACUCGAGGCGCGCGUCGUCGUCGUUGCCGAGCUUGUGGAACCCGUAAUUGUUCAGCUCACGCUUGAAUCCGUUGAUGUUGACGCGCGCGGGGAACACCGGGAGGACGCCGACGAGCUUCUUCUCGAACGCUUUCGCGUCCUUGACGACGAAGGAUUUGCCGUCUUUGUUCCAGGAGACGACGUCGGACGCGGACGGGUCGCUCACGAGCGUGUGAAGCUUCCUGCGACGGCGACGGAAAGAUGUUUCGGAGGGUGAGAAAAAAAAAACACGUGGUCGUCGACGUGCCUGUCGACGUCAACGGGUUGCCUAGGCGCCAGAGACGCCGCGGACGCGCGCGUUCGCGACGGAUAUCGUCGCCGAGCGCGUCGAGUCGCGAGCGGCGCGCGCGAUUCGACGAACGCCGCGUCGCGCGCGACGCGCGCGACGCGCGCGCGAGGCGUCGCGCGCGCCGAAAGUCGCGUCCGACUGCCGACGGCGCCGAGCGACGCGUCUACGUCAUCGGCCCGGUUGCCCAGGUGCCAAAGACGCCGCGGAGGCGCGAGUUCGCGACGGAUAUCGUCGCCGCGCGCGUCCCAUCGCGAGCGACGCGCGCGAUUCGACGAACGCCGCGCCGCGAGCGACGCGAGCGACGCGCGCGCGCGGCGUCGCGCGCGCAGAAAGUCGCGCGCGAUCGCGAAAGACGCGACGUUUCGACGGCACGGGCCGGGCACGUAAGUUAGUGCGGGGAGAAUCGAGGAUCGAGGGGGAGCGCGCACAUUAUGAACGGCGACACCUUGACGCGAUCGAACGCGUAAGGGUUGCACGAAGGGCGGCGAGCGUGAAGGUGCGUGGGGGCCAUCGUUUGUGGAGUGUCGUGUGCGUGCGUGAGGUGGUCGGGCGUGCUGUAGUGCGCGAUGGGUGCGUGUGUUUUCAGGACUUAAACGUCCCGCGAAAAUUGAAACGCCGAGACUUCGCGCCAAGUUUACGAAAGGGCACGGUGCUGAAAGGUGCCCACGAACCGUCGCGAAAAAAUCGUAUGCGCGUCAGUCUGAAAUUAAUACGUGCCUUCGCCGUUCGCGUGCCUCCCACGAAUUCAAGGCGCCGUCCACGGUGGCAAGCACGCCGUGCCGUUACUCUCCCGACGACACUUAUCCGCGCGCGCGUGCCCGCACAGACACGCACACGCACACACUCCGCGAUGGCCGUCUUCCUCGCCGCUCCCGCGUCGCGCGCGUGCGCGACGCGACGAGUCCUCGCGCGAAGCGCGUCCGCGACGGCGACGCGCGCGCGCGCGGCGCCGCGCGUCGCCGCGCGUCGCGAAGUGAGAUCGUCGUCGUCCGCGAGCGCGCGCGGCACCGCAGAUCUUCUCGGGUUCGGGUUCGCGCGCGCGGCGUCCGCCGGACGCGUCGCGCGCUCGUCCGCCGCGGAGACCUCCGGCGACGCGGAGACCUCCGGCGUCGUCCUCCUCGACCCUCCUCCCGCGCCCGCGCCCGUGCCCGCGCCCGCGGCGGCGCCGGCGGCGACGACGACGACGCCGCCCGUCGACGCGUCGCAAACGUCGCUUCGACGCGUCGCGCGACACGUCCACCGCGAGGCGGAGUACGUCUUCGUUCGAUUCUCGCUCCUCGCGACCGGCGCGUUCGUCCUCAUCGGCGUCUGCGCGUCGCUCGCGCUGUCCGCGCUGCUGUUCAGCAUGGGCGUCAAGGAGGUGCUCUACGAAGCCGUGGGCGCGUGGAUGCAAUUCUCGCCGGUGGGGCUCGGUGCGUUCUAUCUCACACUGGUUCCCAUACGACCGCGUCGGCGUGGUGAACGCCGUUCCUUAAGGACUUUUCCCGGCGUCUCUCUCCGCCCAGGGUCCCUCGCUUUCAAUACCCGACCGCGACGCCUUUCAACUAUUACUGACGCCUUUCAACUCCACCCCGACGUCGCGAGAAUAGUCACCGCCGCCGUCGGCGCGCUCGACCGCUUCCUCCUCGGCAUGGUCUGCCUCGUCUUCGGCCUCGGAAGCUUCGAGCUGUUCUUAGCGCGAAGCUCGAGGAAGGAAGAGCAGCAGCUCGCGAAGCGCGUGAACAAGCCGCUGUGGCUGAGAGUGCGGAGCAUAGACGACUUGGAGCACAAGGUUGGCGAGAUCAUCGUCGCGGUGAUGGUCGUCAACCUGCUCGAGAUGUCGCUGCACAUGACGUACUCCAAGCCCGUGGAUUUGGUGUGGGCCGCGCUCGCGGCGUUGGCGUCCGCGGGCGCGCUCGCGCUCCUGCACUGGAGCUCGGAGAAUCACUGCGGGAAGGACGACGACGCGCCCUGCGCGGUGCACUGAGUCGUCCUCUCGCCGCCGUUUGUAGACGCGUGCGCGCGUUCGUUUGUAAUUUCAAUUUUCAAGUCUACCGAAAAAACCGUUUUGCGUUUGCUGCUAUUUUAGGCUACUACUCCUCGUGAGCACCUCACGCGUCCGCGGCGAGGAGGUGCGGUCUGGCGCACUUCAACACGAUGACACGCCCUGCGCGGUGCACUGAGUCGUCCUCUCGCCGCGAGAGCAUCGAAUCGUAUGCGGCGGCGGCGGCUACGCGCUCCUGUUACGAAAGUACUCCUGAAUGUGCUCGCGGACCAGCGCGGCCGCGGCGGCGACUUGCUCGGGGGCGCCCUCGAUGACGCAGACGCCCUGCGAGUCGUUCAACACGCGAAUGGACGCGCCCGUGCGCUCGCGCAACGAGCGGAUGUUGUUACCGCCCUUUCCGAUGAGCCGCGACUCCGCGCCGGCACACGGGAUGGUCUCCCUCGCGACGCCGACGACGGAGCCGGCGGCCGCGCGGUCCGCCCCAGGCGGGGCGCCCAUCACCGCGACCUGCGAGAUGAUCUCGCGAAUGGCAGCGGCGGCGCCCUGCGCGCCGGGUCCGAUGACCUCCGUGACGCCGUGCCCGCGCUUGAGUUGGAUGCACACGCCGAACCUAUCCUGCAAGUCGCGGAUCGUCCCGCCGCCGUGGCCGAUGAUCAUUCCCUCGUGCCCCGCGGUGCCCUCGACGAUGACGACGUCGUUCGCCCCGCCGCCCGCGGCGGCGGCGGAUUGCGCCGCCGCCGCCGCGGGUUCCGCGCCCGCCGGCGCGCCGCGCGCCGGCUGCUUCGCCGGGCGCUCGUCUUCACCUGGUCCCGCGUUCCCGCGCUCUCCCUCUUCCGCGUACGCCGUGUACUUCGCCGCGCUGCCGCGGCACCGAUCCGCGGGGUACUUGGCCGCGUUCUUCGCCAUCUUCGCGCGCGUCGCCGCCGCGAGGUCGACGCCGCACCGAUCCGCGAGGCGCACCAAGUACAGCUGCACGUCCGCGAGCUCGUCCUCGAGCCGCGCUCUGUCCUCGCGCGACCAGCUCGGCAGCCCCGUCGCGCAGUCGUCGUCGCCGCGCCACUGGAACAGCUCCGACACCUCGCCGACCUCGCCGACCAUGGCGAGGAGGACGUUGCGAGGCGAGUGGAACUGAUCCCAGUCGCGCGCGCGCGCGAACGACGCCUGUUCGCGCCUCAGAUCCUCCAGCGUGACGCGCGCGUCGAAGCCGCCGAACGCGGGAGGCGACGGUCGCGCGGCGGCGUCGGCGUCGGCGUCGGCGUCGAACCGCGCGCUGAGCGUCGCGUCGCUUCGGGAUUCGGAGAGCGUCGUCGUCUUGGAACGCAGUUCGAUCGGUUUGUUUCGGCUCUUGUUCACGCGGAUCGGCGGAGGGACGUGCGGCGCGGGAUCGUCGACGUUCCUCGGCGCGUCCGCGUGGCCGUUGCUCCUGACGUCGAAUAUCAUCUUCAUGUGUUUCACGCCGGCGGCGAGGAGGAUGUCGGGGCAUUCCUUCGCGAGAGCGUCCACUUUGCUUCCGGCGCCGUACCAGUCGUGGAGGGUAAGCUUCGACUCGGGGUGCGUUCGGUACAACUCGGAGAUCACGAGGCUCGCGAGCGUGCCGCACGAGCCGGUCAUGUCCGCGAUGGCGUUCGCGUAAUACCGCGGAUCAAUAUAUCGCGGAGGAAUAUUCUCGUACCCUUUAGCCAUCGUGGCUCACCUCUCUCGCGCGCGGGAGUGUUCGCCCGUGCCUCAGAUCUGGAAAAGCGGGUGCCAAAAAAUACUGUAUUUUUAGUAACAGGCUCGCGCCGCGCGUGCGCCACCGUCCUCCUAUCGCAUCGUCCAUCCACCGUGCCUUGAUCCAUCACAUCGCCCUGUACGCCGCCAGGACGUCCUCCACGCGCCCGAACGCCUCGUCGAACUCGCCCUCGCCGACGCCGUGCUCCGCGUACUGAUGCAGAUACGCGCCCGCGUGCUUCAUCUGAGGGCCGUUCCAUACGAAACAGAUGGUUCAUCGGUCAGUUGAAAGGUGGCGCGAUCAAAUGUUGAAACCGAGCGGUGGGUGAAAAACGUUUUUUUUUAACCUGAUACGCCCUCGCGAGCAUCCGCCCGAUCGGCGGACACGCGCUCUGGCAGUUGCUCAGCAGCGUCAACGACGCGUCGUACCCGCAGAAUCGCGCCCCAGAGUGCGAUACAGACAGCGGCGACGGCGUCCACGUUGGGAACAGCCGCGGGUCGGACAACGCGCCGACGUCCGCGUCCUCCGCGCCCUUCCCUCUUAGAAACGCCAUCGCGGCGAGGCACCUCGUGACGACGCGCCCGCCGCCGUCGCCGCCGGGCUCCACCCCCCAGUCUAACCCUUCCUCCAACGUCGUCCCCGUGAGUAACAUCUGCCGCGCGCGCUUGAUCAGCCCGGGCCACGCGAACGUCGUGAAGUCCACGCUCGUCUGCGGCAUCAUCGGCACGGACCGCAGCGACAGAAGACGCAUCGUCGGGUCGCAGCACGCCCCGCGCGAAACGUCGUGGAGCAGCAUCAGCUUCCGUCCGCAUCCCGCGCCGCCCGCGGGUGUUACACCCCUCGCGACGCUCGGGAGUAACACCCCCGCGAGCUGCGUCGCGGCGACGCCGUUCAUGUCGUCGAACGUCGGCCGCUUAAUCUUCAGCGCGCCGACACACGCGCGAUGGAGCUGUUCGUUUUGCACGACGCACACGCCGUCCGACACGUUCAGCAGCGUCGAUAACGUCAACAGCGUGUUGUAGCACUGCACGAUGACCUCGCCGCUCUCGUACGGCCACACGCAGUGGUUCAGGAUCGUCGCGCCGCGGUGCUCGUCGCGGAUCGCCUCGGCGACGAACGCGCCGAGGCCGGCGCCGGUGCCGCCCGCGAGCGACUGCGUCAGGAGGAAUCCGCCGAGGUGGUCGCAUCGCUCCGCCUCGCGUCGAACGAGCUCCAGGGCUUCGUCGCGCACGAGGCCGCCGUAGGUGUUGUACCCGCGCGCCCAGUUGUUCCCGCUGCCGCUCUGGAACGCGAGCGCGCUGUUCGCGUCGUACCGCCAUCUGUGCGACGAGCGCCGCGCGCGCUUGAGCGACGACGCGAUGACUUUCGGUUCCAUGUCGAUCAACACCGCGCGCGCGGUGGGGGAGGAGGAGGAGGAGGAGGAGGAGGACGGCCUCGCCGCGCCGUCGCCGCUGCGGAAGAACGCCUGCGUGCGUGCGGUGGAAGAGAGAGAGAGAACGAGUGCGAGAGGUGAGAUGCGCGAGCGCGGGGGAUGGACGCGGAGGAGGAGAGCGCGGCGCCCGCGGGCGAGGAGAGAAGUCGGCAUCUUCUCUCUCGAGAGUGAGAGAGAGACGACGCGCGCGCGCACCUCGUGAAUCUCGUCGCGGACGCUCGGCGACGACGCCGCCGCCUCCCUCGCGAGCGUGUCGAACAGCUCGCAUCCGACCUGGUUUCCGCACUGCCCGAGCUGCACGGUCACGACCGAGCCGGGCAUCGUCCUCCGCCGCGACCCGUCCUCGACGCGCCGUCUGUGUGGUCGCGCCGCGGUUCAAACUCUGUCGUCCUCGACUCGUCGCUGAUGAAGGCGAGGUGCCGCGUCGUGCUGGCAUAUCGACCGACCAUUGAUCGAGGAGGGGUUCCGAUCAAAAAGUGCUGAAAGGGUUUUUUUAUCGCAAGAACCGAUCAAAAGCUGAACGCAGGUGAAAGAAAAUCCACCUUCUGGUCAGCGCUUCGUAGGAACGCGCCUCUCAUCACUCGUCGAUCGCGCCCCGACGCUCCGCCGCGCUCAUGGUGGACCCGACGCACGAGUACAACCACGACACGUGCCCCGCGUGCGCCGGCCACGGCCAGGUCGCGACGAGCGACGGCUUCGCCGCGUGCGCGUCGUGCAGCGGCAGAGGCGCGUGGGCCCCGCCCGCGUCGUGCUGCGCCGCGCACGACAAGGGCGGUAAUAAAGGAGGAUGCGAGACCGGGCACGGCGCGAGCGACGCGAAGCCCAAGCCGCGGCUGCGGUCGCACGGCGCGUUACCCGCGGCGAACAUGCGCGAGCUCCUGACGCGCGUCGACCUGGAGGACGAGGACGGGAACCUUCUCGACGCGGCGAGCGCGUUCGAGGGGAAAGUCGUCGCGCUCUACUUCUCGUCCGCGACGUGCCCGGCGUGCGCGAGCUUCACGCCGAAGCUCGCGCGGCUCGCGACGGAUCACGCGCGCGACCUCGUCGUCGUGUACGUCGGCGGCGAUCGCACGGAGGCGCAGGCGGAGGGGCCGCACACGCGGGGGCGCGGGUUCCUGCGCGUGCCGUGGCGAUCGGUGCAUCGCGAGGUGUUGCUUCAAUCCUACCGCGUGUUCGCGAUACCGCAGGUGGUGGUCUAUCACCCCGUGCGGCAGAAGACGGUGACGACGUGGGGGCACACCGCGAUCAGGCGCGUUCUGUUCUUCUGUGCCGCGCUCGCCGGUCCUCGAGGACUUUAUUACUUCCCGGCUCGCCGGUCCUCGAGGACUUUAUUACUUCCCGGCUUCGUUUUCUCUCCGCGCAUGCACCCCUCGGUUUCGAUCCCGACGCACACGCCUCGGCGCCUCACGACUCCACCAUUCACGAUUCAUUCACGACAUUCACCUCACGACUCCACCGUUCUGACGCGCCCCCGAACUCCACCCCGACCUCGUCGCUUCGUACUAUGGACCCUCCCUGACCCUCAGCGUGAACCCGGGGAAGUGCGUCAGCGCGUGGAAGAGAGGAGAGACCGGUUACUCGUUGCUGGAGAUGCUCACGCCGAGCUCGUGUUCCGGCGCGUACGACGGCGUGCCCAGCGUCGUCUCCUCGCAGUCGACCGGAUACGCGAAGUGAUAUACUUUAACAUAUGAUACUAUGAUAUAUGUUAUACUAUAUGAUAUAUGUUAUGAUAGUUACCCUCUCGCGUACGUCCCCGGGGCGUCGUCCCGCGGCGGGUUCGCCUCCGUCGGCGACCCGUCGAUCUGCCGAAUGGCUUCGUACACGCCGACGCCCGCGCUCACCGCCAGGUUUAAACUCCGGACGUGGUCCUCGUCUAUGGGUAUCCGGCGUAUGCCCCCGCUCCGCGCGCACGCGUCGUGCGCCUCGUCCGGUAACCCCGUGGUCUCCGCGCCGAAGAGGAGCCAAUCGCCGGGGAGGUACGCGCCCUCUUCCGCGUGCGGCCGGGCGCCGAAUUUGCUGAGGGUCGAGGUCGGGGUGGAGUUCAAAGGCGUCAGGGGUGGAGUUGAAAGGCGUCGAGGUGUGUCGGGAUCGAAAGCAGCGAGGGGGUGGGCGGAGAGAGACGAACGCCGGGAGAGAAAGUCCUCAAGGAAUCGCAUGCACCGCGCCGACGCGGUCGUAUGGGGACCAGCGUGAUGGACACAGAACGCGCCUGAACGCGACCAGACGACCGGGGGCCCCGAGGUCGACGGACCAGUACGCGUAGAACGCGUCCCAGUCGUCGUGCACGCGCACGCACACGCUGUGCCUGCGACGGGCGGGAGGAGAUGGACGAUGAGCGGGAUGGACGGAGGGGCGCGACGGCGACGGGGAGGGGGGAGCGCGUAUCGAUCGAUAGAUCAAUCGGUCGAUCGGUCGGUCUAUCGAUCGGUCGAACGCACCAGUAGUCGAGCCCCGCGCGCUUGAGCUGGCUGUCCUCUAACGUGAACCCUAACGGCCCGACUAAGUGCAGCGGCACGCGCGACGCCGCGCACGUCCGCGCGAUCGUCCCGGUGUUCCCCGGGAUCUGCGGCGAGACGAGCACGACCGCGAGGUCCGCGCGCUGAUUUUCCGCCGCGAGCUCGACGCCGUCGCGGCUCUUUCCGGCGAAGAGGUUCGCCGCGCCGCUCCCGCUCGACGCGCGCGGCGUCGUCGCGUUCGCAUCGCGCGGCGCGGGAGUCGCGCGGUGACGCUUCGCGAGGAGCGCGUUGAACGCGCGCGGGAGGACGAGGUACGGCAUCGCGCGCGGCGUGCGGUGCGGUGCGCUCGCUCAUUCAUACACCGUUGCCCUAAGCUCACGAAACCCCCGAGACUCGACUCGUCCGCGUCCGCCAGCUGUACAACGUUGUACUCAUACUCCGCUCGCUCACGGCGUCCGCGGCGGGGUCUUCGGCCGCGCCGUCGCCGGUCUCGGGCUCGCCAUCGCCGCGAGCGCCGCCCUCGCGGCCCUUUCCGCGAUGCUCCUCCCUCUCCCCGGCGGCGCGACGGUCGAGCUCUGGUCUUCCCGUCCCCCCUCGCCGCGUCGCCGUCGCGCCCACGCCGCCGCCGCCGCUUUCUUCACCGAACCGCCCCCUCCCCCGCCGCCGCCGUCGCCCUCCGCGUUCUCCUUCUCCGCGCCGCGCCGUCGUCCUCGUCCGCGCGGCGUCGGCGUCGGCGGCGAAUAGCGCUCCCGCGGCGUCUCCCCCGCGCCGAGUAACGCUCGGUUCGCGCGCGUUCGCAUCGCCGCUCGGUACGCGCGCGUCGCCGCCGCCUCCACGGUUGCGUCCACCUUCGCGCGCGCGCGCGCCGCGCUCGCGCUCGUCGUCGCGGCGUCCGGCGCCGGCGCCUUCGUCCGCGUCGUCGCGCUCGCCGCGCGCGUCUUCACCGGCGUCGCGAAGAUCUCGCGCGAGGGCGACGUCACGACGAGCACCGCGUCCGUCGCGUCGUCGUCGUCCUCCUCCUCCUCCUCCGACUCCGCGUCGAAGAGACGCGUCGCUCGCGAUGUUGACGAGAACAGCAACGACGCCGCGGCGGCUUCCUUCUCCGCGGUCGCCUCGAGCGCGACGUGCUCGAACAUCUCCGCCGCGCUCGGUCGCGACGGCGGCGGCGACGGCGACGCGACGGGCGCGGCGUUCGCCGCGCGGCGCGCGCACGGCUGACAUCGCGUCUGAGCCGUGGUCGUCGUCGUGGCCAUCAUCACGGCGAGCUCGUGCCUCAGCGACUCGUUCUCGUCUCGCAGCGCCGCGACCUCCGCCUCCGCGGUCUUCGCUCGGAGGAGCGCCGCUCGCAGCCUCGCCUCGGGGGUGUCUUCGAACGCGAACGACGACGCGAGCGCGGCGGCCGCGCGCGGCAUCGUCGCGUCGUCGUGCCUCCCCCCGUCGCGCCAGAUGGAGUGCGGCGCCGCGCCGCGCGAAAUGCCACGCCAGCGCAGCGCAGCAGCGCGACGAGCUGCUUCGGAGUUUGAAAGGCUCGCUCGUUUGGGCGGAGGAAAGAGACGCGCCGCGCGCACUUCAUAACGCGCGAGAGGACGGCCUGAUCGUCGCUUCGCGCCGCCAUGAAGCUCGAUUUCAGCGUCCUGGACGCGCCGACGCGGAAGAUCGACGCGGAGAUCGCGGAGUGGUGCGUCCCCGCGCGCGAUCCCGCGCGCCUCGUCGCCUUCGCGUCCGCCCAGCCCUGAGAUCUCGCGCCUCGAAGAGGCGACGACGACGACGACCGCGCGCUGACCUCGCGCCUCCCCACCCCCUCCGCAUCGCGCCCCCCAACCCUUCCCUCGAUCGCAGCGCCGCGGAGAUCAACUCCGACGUCCACGCGCAGAACUUCAAGCUCCCGAUGGUCGAGAACGUGCGUCGUCCCUCCCCCGAUCCCUCCCCAGCGCGCGCCUCGACGUCAUUUCUUAGGGUUGCCAACGGACGCCGCGCGCGAGAUCCGACGACCGAUCGCCGACCCCCCCCCGCCUCCAUCGAUCCUCCCCCCCAUCCCGCAGUACGACUCGUUCCAGCGCGAGGUCGUGGACUACGUCAAGCCCAACCACGGCACGACGACGCUCGGGUUCAUCUUCGAGCACGGCGUCGUCAUCGCGGUGGACUCGCGCGCGUCGCAGGGGCCGUACAUCUCGUCGCAGACGGUAAAGAAGGUGAUCGAGAUCAACCCGUACCUCCUCGGAACGAUGGCCGGCGGCGCCGCGGACUGCCAGUUCUGGCAGCGGAACCUCGGGAUCCAGUGCCGCCUCCACGAGCUCGAGAACGGCAAGCGCAUCAGCGUCUCCGGCGCGUCGAAGCUGCUGUCGAACACGCUUUACGGCUACCGCGGGCAAGGGCUGUCCAUGGGGACGAUGGUCGCCGGGUGGGAUCUCAACGGCCCGGGUCUGUACUACGUCGACAGCGACGGCACGCGGUUGAAAGGGAAGCGGUUCAGCGUCGGGUCCGGGUCGCUGUUCGCGUACGGCGUGUUGGACCAAGGGUACAGGUGGGAUCUGAGCGUCGAGGACGCGUGCGAGUUGGGGCGAAGGGCGAUCUACCACGCGACGUUUCGAGACGCGUUUUCCGGCGGCACGGUGAGCGUGUAUCACGUGGGGCCGGACGGGUGGACGAAGAUGUCCGGCACGGACGUCGGGGAGCUGCACUACGAGUACUACCCCGCGGAUCCGAUCGCGACGGAGGCGGAGGCGGAGGGAGGGGGGGAGGAGCCGGAGAGCAUGGAGACGUCCGAGCAGAAGUGAGGGUCGCGAGUGGAACGGCGGACGACGGCGGGGCUGUAACGAAACUCCUUAUUUCUCGGAACUGCCGCUCUCGUUUCUUCGACCACGACGCGCGUCCGUCGUUCGCACUGUGCCGCGCGCGCGAUUGGGACGAUACGAUGAUGACCUUGCUCUCGCGCGUCGCGGGCGUGAUGUUCUCCUCGCGCGAUUCCCUCCGCGACCACACGCCUAUCGCGCACCUCUCUCCGAAAACGCCCGAAGAAGAGCGUGCUCCUCCGAAGUCGCGAUACGUGGGCGUGGUCGCGGGCGCGUGGAAGAAAUCAAAAAAGACUUGGGUAGCUCAGCACGGCGGUGAGCUAGGGAGAUUCCCCACCGAGCUCGAAGCCGCGGAGGCGUAUUGCAAAGCACUGGGGUUUCCCGAACCUCUGCUUCGGGUGGAGGGCGAGUGCGGAAGAGCGACAGUAAAACGAGAGCGACUUAAAUACGAGCGGCCGUCUGACUACAAAGCUGCUCCCAAGUCGCGAUACGUAGGCGUAACCGCGAGUGGCAACUGGAAGACCGCGAAGAACAAGUGGCAGUCGACGUUCCGUGGUAAGUACGUGGGCACUUUCGCGACGGAGGAAGAGGCGGCUCAGGCGCACGCGGACGCGAAAGGCUGUCCGGGCCCGGUCCUUCGCGAAGGCGGCCUUCGCAAGCGCAAGAACCCCGACGACGCCGUUCUGGAAGCCGAGGAGGUCAAGGAGGUAGAAUCCGACGAUGAUGAUCGCGAUGAGGUCGUCAUCGUCGAGAAAUUCCCCGACGUCGGCACGCGCGUGAAGAAACGCUUCGGGUCCAAGUCCAGUCGCCGGUGGUGCGAGGGCGCGGUGACGAAAGUCGACGCCGGCGACGACGCGCCCGUGACGGUGACGUUCGACGACGGCGACGUCGAGCGGCUCACCGUCGCGCGGUACGAAUGCGAGUGCGUCGCGCUCCCGGCGUCGCGCACGAAGAAGCUGAAGUGCGUAUACUGUGCGCACGUCCUGUCGGUGACGUAUAAGGAGACCGAGCGCGACGACUUCACGUUCGAGUGUCCGUACGAAGGAUGCGGGAGACCGCUGCGCCUCCCUCGAAAGAAAGAGUGAAUGAAUAGUAAGGUCAGGGCUCGCGUCGUUAAUAAAGAUACGAACGAGACGAACACGACUACUUCUUCUCCUUCUUCGCCUUCUUGUCCUUCUUCGUCUUCUUCGCGUCGCGCGACCCCCCGGGCGACCGGCUCCUCGAUCGACUCCUCGACCCGCUCCGAUCUCGCGACCGCUUCCCCCCGCGGUCGCCCCUCCCGCCGCCGCCGCGAUCGCCGCCGCGAUCGAGCCCGUCCUCGAUCAGCUCGUCCAACAGCGCCUCGCCCUCCUCCAACGCCUCCCUCGCCUUCGCCUCCCUCGCCGCGAGCUUCGCCGUCCACUCCGCGAAGAUCGCCUCGCACUUCUCCGGAUACCCCGGCGCGCUCUGCCGCCCGUCCUCUGUCGCGUCGCGCCCGCGGACGGCGCGGAUCCAAUCGCGAUCCUCGCCCAGCGCCGCCUCCGCCUCCUCCCACGUCGUCGACCCUCGCACCUCCCUCCGCGCGCUCUUUAUGAGCCGCGCGAAGUCGUCGAGCGCCCUGGCCUCGCGCUUGGCGUCGACGCGCGCGCGCUCCUUCGCGCACGCGACCGCGUCCGCGCACGCGCGCGCGAGCGACGCCUCCGGAAGCGGAAGCGACGAUCCCGGGUGAGGUUGAUUCGUCAUCUUAUCGCGCACCGCGUCGGCGAGCGCCGCAACGUCCGUCUCCGCCGUGACCUCCAUCCCGCCGCACGCCACUCUCGCGGUCUCGAUCACGGCGUCGCGCUCCUUCGCGGCGUCCGCCUCGAGCUUCUCCUGCGCGUCCUCGUACAGCUCCUUCGGGCGGCUUCCGCUGAAGUUUUCGCACGCCGCGAUGUACCGCAAAUCGUCCGAAACCGACUUCGCGAAGGUCCGCCACGGCAUCCUCAGCGUGAUCAACCCCGCGCCGACGCGCUCGUCGAUCAUCUCAACAAACGCCUCGCGGUUCUUCCGUUCCGUCCGCAGCCGCUCGAUCCGUUCCGUCUCUCGGUCGUCCGCCUCUUUCUUCUCCAGCUCCUCCAUCAACGCGACGAACGUCUCGAGUCGGUCGACGCGAUCGCACGCGGGCGACCUCGGAUCGUUCGCGCACUGCUCGUGCACUUUCCUCCACACGCUCGUGACCUUCACGCCGCGCUCUACGAGAAGUUCGCGGUACGCCGCCGUCGUCUCUUUCCUCCGUAUCCGCCGCUCCUCGCGCUCGGUCGCGCGUUGGUCGUCGAGGAACUCGCGAAAUAAAUCCUCGCGGUCGCGCGGCGUCUUCACCGCGAGCCACCGCGCGUCCUCCACCAGGUCCUCCGCGAUGUCCUUCAGCCGCGUGCUCUGCGUCACCCACCCGAGCUCGUCCGCGCGCUCGCGCAGCAUGGUCUUGAACGCCUCGCGCGUCGCCUUCUCCGCGAGCCGUUUCUCCUCGCGGUCUUGCUUGGCCUUUUGCGUCUGCCACUCGUUGAAGCACUGUUUCUUUUCUCCGAGCGUCUUGAGCGCGCCGUAGCGUUCGUCUUGGAUGAUGAGGCGCAUCGCGUCCUCCCACUUCAUCCCCGCGGUCGCGUUCUUGUCGCUGAGGAGCUCCUUGAAGGCGUUCUUCGCUUCGUCUUUGUUCGCGUACGUUCGCGGCGCGGCGGACGGAGCGGCGGCGGCGGCUGCAGGAGCGGCGGCCGGAGCGGCCGGAACCGCCGAGCGACCGUUCGCCCUCGGCUUCGCGCCGCCGCCCCCGCCCCCCCCUCCCGCCGCGGCAGCCUUCACCGCCGCCUGCGCGAUCGCCGCCGCCUCCCGCACGACCCUGAGCUCGUCCGGGAUCUGCCACUUUGUCUCCUUCGUGUCCUUGUGGUAGUAGUACGACCGUCCGUCCGCGGCGACGUGCUCCCUCCAUCGCGUCGUCGCGUCCGCGCGCUCCGUCGGCGUCAUCAGCGCUUCCGGCUUCUCGUACGUGCUCUGCCGCGUGAGCGCGUUGAAGAAGUACUCGCGACCGUCCGCGCCGCGGUGGGCGGUCCAGUCCGCCGCGCCGGGCGCGGGCGCGGGCGCGGCGGGCGGGAUCGGCGGCGCGCCGACGCCCGCGGCGGAUCUGUUGGCGCCGGGCGGCCCGGGAGGCGUCGGGAGGGUCCCGGGGGGCGUUCCGCCGGGCGGCGGCGCGCCAGCCCCGGGCGCGGUCAUCCACGCCGGCAGCGUCGCGGCCCUACCGCGUCCGGCCAUGGCGCGAGGGCGCGUCGAACCCUCUUAGAUCUCACCGAGCGCGCCGCGGCCUCGGCGAUCGGAUCAGUGCCGCGAUAAUUCGCUUCGAUCGGCUUCCAGUCGUCCGUCUUCAAGUUUUGCUUUGUUCGUCGACUGACUCGUUGUACUGUAAUCCUUCUUAUCCGAAGUAAGAUUCGUAACGCGACUGCGACUGAUCGAACGAGCGCGUUUAAAUGUAAUAAUACAGUACGGCAUUCAUCUCCCCCUCCCCUAAGCGCAUGAUGCGGUUGUUGGGGGACUACUUCCUCUUCUCGGACCCCGCGCGCCUCCUCUUCGUCGUCUCCGCCUUCUCCUACGGCGUCUUCUUCUUCUUGCUCAGCGUCUCGGACCUCUUCUUCUGCGUCUCCGCCUUCUCCGCCACGGUCUUCUUGCUCAGCGUCUUGCUCAGCGUCGCGAGCAUCUUCUUCUUCGUCUCCGCCUUCUCCGCCACGGUCUUCUUGCUCAGCGUCUUGCUCAGCGACGCGAGCCUCUUCUUCUCCGUCGCCGCCUUCUCCGCGUCGGUCUUCUUGCUCAGCGUCUUGCUCAGCGUCGCGAGCAUCUUCUUCUUCGACGCCGCCUUCUCCGCGUCGGUCUUCUUGCUCAGGUUCUUGCUCCGCGACGCGAGCCUCUUCUUCUCCGACGCCGCCUUCUCCGCGUCGGUCUUCUUGCUCAGCGACGCGAGCCUCUUCUCCUCCGUCGCCGCCUUCUCCGCGUCGGUCUUCUUGCUCAGCGUCUCGAUAAACUUCUCCUUCGACGCCGCCUUCUCCGGGGCGGUCUUCUUGCUCACCGUCGCGAGCAUCUUCUCCUUCGACGCCGCCUUCUCCGCGGCGGUCUUCUUGCUCAGCGUCUCGAUCCUCUUCUCCUUCGACGCCGCCUUCUUUCUCUUCUUCAGUCCGCGCGUCCCCACCCCGGGCGCGUUCUUCGACUGGCCCGUCACCUUCCAGUACUGCUGCCCCUCCUUGAUCCUCUCGGAGAACCACGCCGCCAUCUCCGGCGUGAUCUCGAGCAGGCGGCCGUCCUCCAUGAACUUCGCCAAGAGCGUGUCGAAGGUGCCCUCCGGCCCGCCGAAGUGCACGAACAAGUCCGCCAUGCUUCGGAUGAAGCGCUCCGUGAGCCAUUGCGUCGACCUGAUGGACGUCGCCAAGCACAUGUGACCGGACUUGGUGUGGACAUCACCGUCCAGCUCGGGCCACAGGGCGCGCUCCGCGGGCAUAUCCGCAGGGCAGUGCUUCGCCAUCCAUUCGCGUGCCUGUGAACGGUCGGGGGAGGAAGGGGCGCGCGCGUCAGUCAGAAAACAAGAUCGGGGCGUUGCAGCGCAGCGUCGUCGAAAAAGUCGAGGGGCGUGGGAAAGAAGGAACUCACCGGCCGACCGAAGCCCCCCGCGCGUUCGGGCGUCCCGCAGGCGUUCAACGCCUCGACGAUCAAGUCCUCGAUCAACUUCCUCUCGCGCGUCUCGACGCCUUUCAAGAUGAUCUUGCCGGCGUCGUGACGCCCUGGCCAGGGAAUCAUGUUUGUCAUGAGAAACGAAGGCGCGCGAGCGCGACCGGCCGCGGGCGUGUCACCGAUGUGAACAAAAAACCAGUCCCAGACGUCGGAAACGAGCCGCUUCCCGUCGGCGCGGAGCUUUCGCAAGUUCCCGCGGAGUCCGAUCCCGUCGGUCUCGAAGUGCCCGAUGAUGACGUUGAACUCCUCCUUGAGGCCGCUCUCGUUCCACUCCGCGUCCUCGGGAAGAAGAAUCCGCCUGAAGUGCAGCUUGCGGCCGAGGAACUCGCCGAUGGCGUCGACGAGUUUCUCCAAGUCGCGCUGCGCGGCGUCGAACUUUUCCUUCGGAGAGAGCUUGCACGACGGAUCCGCGCGCGCUUCGAAGCGGUCGCGGAUGUCCUGGACCGUGGCAUUGAACUUCUUUUGCUUCGCGCUCGGUUCAACGACGCGCGUCCUGCCUUGCGCUCUCUUCCUAGCGACCAUGGUGGCCGAAGCGCGCCUGUGGACGAGCGGCGGAGGACGGACGUAUGGUGACGCGCGAAAAAAACGGCGAUGGCGAGAUUCGCGGAAAAGCGAUCGAGGCGCGGCGAGGGGAAGCCGCGCGCGCGUCGGCCGCGGUCGCGCGCGUCCGUCGCGCGCCCGACGGCGCCGCGCGCGCGCGCGCUUGGAUUCGACGCGGGGAAGGAGUCGAGCGCGCGCAACUGAGGGUGCGCGUGCCGCGGGGAGCGAACAGUGACGGACCGCGCGCGGAGCGGCGGUUCGGGCGACGAAAAAAAAGCUGUCAAGUUCGCGUUCAGUUCACAGUUCACAGCUGUACGUGUACACGUACACACUCGUCGCCCCGACGCGUCCUCCUCGUCAGUGUCUCGCCUAGGAUUGGAGUCGAAGCCGGAGACGUAUUACGCUCGCUAUUCCUAAAACGGGUUCGUCUUCGUGGACACCGGCGGCGCUUUCGCGACCGCCUUCGCCGUGACGUCCGCGAGAUGUCUGCCCUUGUGAUACAGCUCCGGGCACCACCGGCGCUUGUACUCGUCCCUCGCCUCGGUCUCCGCGUUGAACACCGCGUUGAGAAAAUCGUCGCGCGUCGUCCCCGGUCGCGCUUCCCAAAUCGCGCGAUUCCGACGCCGCGGCUUGAACACCGGCUCUUUCCUAUCCUCGAAGUCGCUCCUCCACAGGCUCCGCGUGGCGAGUUCGCCCUCCUCGCGAACCGACGCCCACCGCCCGAACCGCCGCGCGUCCAUGCGCGGGUUCCCAAACUCCGCGUCCCAGCGCGCGAGUUCAGUCUCGAGCUCCAACGCGAGCAGUUCCUCUUCCAGUUCGCGCUUAGGGCCAUUCCAUACAAGCGAACGUCGGGGUGGAGUUCAAACGCGUCAGUUGGAGUUGAAAGGCGGCGAGGGCGGGCGUUGAAAGCGAGGGGUGGGCGGAGAGAUGCGCCGGGAAAAGUCCUUAAGGAUCGGCGUUCACCACGCGGACGCGGUCGUAUGGGGACCAGUGUAUAGAACGCGCCUUAACGCGUCGUCGUCCAGCCGCGGCGACGCGAACGCCGCCGCGUCCACGUUGUGCAUCAGAAACGCUCCCCUCAGGUGCGUUAACCCGAACCGCUUCAGCGCGGCGAACACGGGGGCGUACUCCGAGAGCCCCGCGACGGAUUCCUCCGUGAGAUGCUCCGCGGUCUUCGAGCGCCACACGAGCUCGACGACGUUUGAUGAUUUUCCCGCGAGCUCGCGCUCGACCCAGUCGUGCGAUCCCCACACGUCCGUGAUGACCUCGCCGUUCGGCCCGCGUCGCGCGCUCAGGACGCAGUACGUCGCCGCGCACUUCCGCAUCGUCUCCGCCGCGCGCUUCGCGUGGGCGAUUACCUUGCGGUGCGUCGCCGCGCGCCACUCCCCGUCCGCGUUCGCGACGGCGAUCUGUCUGCGGCGCUUCUUCGCGCCGACGUUUCCCGCGACGUCGCGGCACGCGCAAUCGCAUCGCGCGUCGCGGCAGGUCGCGCUUCUCGGGUGGCGGUCGUGCCCGCACGCGACGCACGUCACCGACGUCGGCGGGCGUUUGCCGCCGCCGCCGCCGCCGCCGGCGGCGGCGGCGCUCGAGCUCGCCGGCGCUCGCAUGCGGCGCGCGGGGGCGAGUGAUGAAGAUACCUCGGCGUAAACAACGCGGUUUUCUCAGAAGAGCCGGCUCCGCUCCGCGCCGUCACGCAUUCGGCCGCCGCGCGAGCACGGCGUCCGCGCGCGGAACCCCGAGCGCGGCGUUCCCGCGCGCGAACGCUCCCGCGACGCCAUGGUCGUCCAGGUCCCGGUCAUGUCGCAAGGUACCCCCACACACACACCCCGGCGACGGACGUCGCGCCGCCGUCCCUCGACCCGCGCGCCGAAACCCGCCACCCAUCCAUCGGGUGCCCUCAUCCAGCGCCACCACCGCGAAAAGCGCCCUCGUCGACACGUCGACAUCUCGCGUCCACUCACCCUCUUCUCCUCCCCCCGCGUCCACUCACCCUCUUCCCCUCUUCUCCGCCUCCCCCCCCCCCCCCCCCCNNNNNNNNNNNNNNNNNNNNNNNNNNNNNNNNNNNNNNNNNNNNNNNNNNNNNNNNNNNNNNNNNNNNNNNNNNNNNNNNNNNNNNNNNNNNNNNNNNNNNNNNNNNNNNNNNNNNNNNNNNNNNNNNNNNNNNNNNNNNNNNNNNNNNNNNNNNNNNNNNNNNNNNNNNNNNNNNNNNNNNNNNNNNNNNNNNNNNNNNNNNNGGGGGGGGGUUUGCCGCCGCCGCCGCCGCCGCGGGGGGGGGGGGCGUUGGAGUUUGCGGGCGUUCGCAUGGGGCGCGGGGGGGGGAGUAAAAAAAAUACCUGGGGGUAAACAACGGGGUUUUUUCAGAAGAGCGGGUUCCGUUUGGGGCGGUAAGGCAUUGGGCCGCCGGGGGAGCAGGGGGUCCGCGCGGGGAACCCCGAGGGGGGGGUUCCCGGGGGGGAAGGCUCCCGGGACGCCAGGGUUGUCCAGGUCCGGGUAAUGUCGCAAGGUACCCCCACACACACACCCCGGGGAGGGAGGUGGGGCCGCCGUCCCUGGACCCGGGGGCGGAAACCCGCCACCCAUCCAUGGGGGGCCUUAAUCAAGGGCCACCACCGGGAAAAGGCCCUUGGUGGAAAGGUGGAAAUUUGGGGUCCACUCCCCUUUUUUUCCUCCCCCGGGGUCCACCCCCCUUUUUCCCUUUUUUUCGGCUUCCCCCCCCCCCCCCCCCCCCCGCAGAGGAAGCGCGCGUGCGCGCCAUCACGGACGUCGUCCAGCAGAUGAUCGCGUCCGUGAAGUCCGGCAAGGUGAUGAACCUCAACGCCGUCAAGAACGCGGCCGCGCGGAAAUACGGCCUGCGCCGAUCGCCCAAGCUCGUCGAGCUCAUCAGCGCGGUCCCGGACGAGCACCGCGACGCGCUCCUCCCGGCGCUGCGCGCGAAGCCGGUGCGGACCGCGAGCGGGAUCGCGGUCGUCGCGGUGAUGUCCAAGCCGCAUCGGUGCCCGCACAUCGCGACCACGGGGAACAUAUGCGUCUACUGCCCGGGAGGGCCGGAUUCCGAUUUCGAGUACUCCACGCAGUCGUACACAGGGUACGAGCCGACGUCCAUGCGCGCGAUUCGCGCGCGGUACGACCCGUACGUCCAAGCGCGCGGGCGCGUGGAUCAGCUGCGGAAGCUCGGGCACAGCGUGGACAAGGUGGAGUACAUCCUCAUGGGCGGGACGUUCAUGAGCUUGCCCGCGGAGGUGCGUUCUAUACAAACGUUUUUCACCCAUCGCUCGGUUUCAACACUUGAUCGCGUGGGUCCCUUUCAACUGACCGAUGAAUCUUUUUUGUAUGGAACGACCCUCAUCACAGUACCGGGACUGGUUCGUGAGGAACCUGCACGACGCGCUGUCCGGCGCGAGCAGCGCGUCCGUCGCGGACGCGGUCGCCGCGUCCGAGCAGUCGAGAAUGAAGUGCGUCGGGCUGACGAUCGAGACGCGGCCGGACUACUGCCUGUCGCCGCAUCUGCGUCAGGUGGGUUCUAUACAAAAGUUUUUCACCCAUCGCCCGGUUUCAACAUUUGAUCGCGUCUCCUUUCAACUGACCGAUGAACAUUUUUUGUAUGGAAUGGCCCUCAGAUGCUUCUGUACGGGUGCACGCGCCUGGAGAUCGGGCUGCAGUCGAUUUACGAGGACGUCGCGCGGGAUACGAACCGAGGGCACACGGUCGAGGCGGUGCAGAAGUGUUUCGAGCUCGCGAAGGACGCCGGGUUCAAAGUCGUCGUGCACAUGAUGCCGGAUCUGCCCAACGUUGGGAUGGAACGCGACCUGGAGUCGUUUCGCGAGUUUUUCGAGAGCCCAGACUUUCGCACAGACGGCUUGAAGCUCUACCCGACGCUCGUCAUCCGCGGCACCGGUCUGUACGAACUCUGGCGCACGGGGCGAUACCGCAACUACGCGCCCGAUCGCCUCGUGGACCUCGUCGCGCGCGCGCUCGCGCUCGUCCCGCCGUGGGUCCGCGUGUACAGAGUCCAACGCGAUAUCCCGAUGCCACUCGUCACCGCGGGCGUCGAGAAGGGCAACCUCCGAGAGCUCGCGCUCGCGCGCAUGGGCGACCUCGGGCUCCGGUGCCGCGACGUGCGGACGCGCGAGGUUGGGAUCCAGGACAUCCACAGCAAGGUGAAGCCCGAGGAGGUUGAGUUGGUGCGUCGAGACUACGCGGCGAACGGCGGGUGGGAGACGUUUUUGUCGUACGAAGACCCGCGGCAGGACAUCCUCGUCGGGCUGCUUCGGCUUCGGCGGUGCGGCGCGACCGCGGCCGCGACGUCGCCGGAGCUGAGAGGUCAGAAGUGUUCCAUGGUGCGAGAGUUGCACGUGUACGGCAGCGCGGUGGCGGUGCACUCGCGCGAGCGAGGGAAGUUUCAGCACCAGGUGCGUCGUUUUUGUUUUCGCUCUGCGAUGUUUUUUGUUUUUCAGCCACUCCUCGGGUUCAACGUUUGAUCGCGGACCCUUUCAACUGACCGAUGAAUGCGCCUUAAAACAGGGGUACGGCACGUUGCUCAUGCGCGAGGCGGAGCGCAUCGCGCGGCGGGAGCACCGGAGCGCGAAGCUCGCGGUCAUCUCCGGCGUGGGGACGCGGCAUUACUACCGGAAGCUCGGGUACGAGCUCGAGGGACCGUACAUGGUGAAGACGUUGCGAUGAUCGAUGCACGGUAGCGCGCUAGCUAGUUGACUUAGGAGAACGGCGAUAAAUAAAAAAAGUCGCAAACGCACGAAACGGCCCGUCCGAGAACGCGCUCGGUCAACUCUCGCAUUUCCCGAUGCGCCGCGCGUCGUCGUCGUCGUCGCGCCGUCCCCCCGGCGGCGGGCGGGGACGACGAGGAGGCGACGUGGACAUGGUCGCGGCGGCCGUGGCGCUGCAGGAUCACCUCGCGCGGUCGCUCAAGAUGGGCGCGCCGCGCGUGCGGCCGACCGCGCCGCGGCGUCGCGACGACGUUCUACUAGACGUCUCGUCGUCGUCGGGACGUCUUCCCCCCCGCGCCCGUCGCGAGAACGCGGACCCGAACGCGUCGCGCGCCGCCGCCGCCGCCGUCGGGCGCGACGACGGAUGGCGCGCGACGCGAGACGCCGCCGCCGCGAAGCCGUGGACGAACGACGAGGACGACGCGAGCGCGACGCAGGCGAUGCCUCGUCGGCGCCGUCGCCCGACCCUCGCGGAGCGCGCGGGAUUCGUCCCCGCGCCGCCUCCGCCGCUGACGGAGGCGGAGUGGGCUCGCGCGCACGCGACGUCGAAGAAACGCGCGGAGUAUCCGCAGUGCGAGGCGUCGUGCGCGAUAUGCCUCUCCGCGUUCGGCGGCGCGAGUCAGGUGUUGCUGCCGUGCGCGCACAUCUUCCACGAGCGGUGUUUCGAAUCUUUCGAGCGGUUCGCCGGCGAUUCGUCGGCGUCGUACCAUCGGUGUUGUCCCAUCUGCCGCGCGAGCGCGCACGAAAAGCGGCGCAUUCGCGACGGCGCGGCGUCCUGGCGUCGCCGCGCGGCGAUCAAGAUCCAGACCGCGUGGCGGCGGCGCCGGUGCGUGCGAUGGUACGCGAGGGUGCGCGCGUCGAUCCCUCCGAGCGAUCCGAUCGCGAAGAGGGCGUGGUUCGCGGACAAAGUGCGCGACGUCGUGCGGGAGGACGUCCGCGCGAUGCGAGACGUCAGGAGAGACGCGGAGAAGCUGUUCGAGGCGAUCGCGGCGAGGAAGGGCGAGGCGUACGUCGCGCCGUCGUACCUUCUCGACGGCAGCGACAGCGACGAAGUUGCAGGAGACGACGACGACGGGGACGGGGACGACGCGCAGCUGUACUCCGACGUGCAGCUGUCGCUCGCGUUUGAACACGCCGCGCGCGAGGAAGCCGCGGAGGACGCGGCGGCGGGCGACGACGGCGUGGAUUGGGCCGCGGUGGAGAGAACGACGAGCGAUCGUGCGCAGGCGGACUGCCCGAUAUGCUUCGCGGCGCUGCGACGGAGUCGAGAAGAAGACGACGCCGGCGACGGCGGCGACGCGCGGCAUCGCGUCGACGCCGCGCCGCUCGCGCUUCUCGACUGCUCGCACUGUUUCCACAUGAAGUGUCUCCGAGCGUUCGAGGCGUACAACAGCGCGGUCGGGCGCGCGCGGACGUGCCCGAUUUGCCGCGGCGAGUACAAGCGUCGCGCGGUCGCGUAGAAGAAGUGGUAGCGCGUUAACAUAGUCUACGUAUAUGACGAGUAGUCCUUCGUCGAUCCGCGGUCGUAGACCGGUGUCGUCGCGGCGUUCGUAACCUUAGGGCCGUUCUAUACAAGCGAAUGUCGAGGUGGAGUUGAAAGGCGUCAGUUGGAGUUGAAAAGCGUCGAAGGCGGGGAUUGAAAGCGAGGGAUGGGCGGAGAGAUGCGCCGGCGAAAGUCCUUAAGGAUCGGCGUCCACCUCGCGAACGCGGUCGUAUGGGGACCAGUGUAUGGGACGCGCCUUAUUUUCGUUCGUUCGCGUCGUAUCGCGCCCCCCUCACCAUUCACCCGACGCGACGUCGUCGUCGUCGUCGUCGUUCUUCGCGUCGUCGUCGUCGUCGUCGUCGUCGUCGUCGUCGAAUCCGUGCCACAGCGCCUCGUCGUCGUCGCUGCCGUCGUACGCCGCCGACUUCCUGUGCGCCGCCGUCGGAUACGUCUCGUCGAACUCCUCCAUCGUGAAUUCCUCCUCGUCCGGCGCGUGCGCGGCCAGGAGGUACUCGAACGUCUCCCUCUCGCCGUGCUCGAACGCGCUCACGACGCAGUCGUCGUCGAUCUCGCACCCGUUCUCGAUCGCCCAUCGAAGGACGCGGAGAUGCCCGCGCCUGGACGCCUCGAACGUCACGAACGGAUCCCACGCGCACCCGACGGAUCGGAGGUACUCCAGGCACUCCAAGCUCCCCGCCUUCGCCGCGGCUUCGCAGGAGGACAGCGCGGGGUCGUCGAACCACGUAUCGUGCGCGUCGUACGUCGUGAGCCAUCGAAGGACGUCGAGGUGGCCGCCGCGCGCGGCGGCGGCGGCGACGCCGUGCUGCCACUCCAUCGGCGUGCCGCCGGGGGGGGCGACGUCGGGGGCGCCCUGAGAGACGAGCCCGGAGUCUUGCUCUCGGACCCACCGCAGGACUUGGAGUUGCCCGCCGCGCGCGGCCGUGCGCGCGACGCUCGUGAAGUCGAAUCCUUCGCUCUCGUGCGUCGUGGAGAAGCGCCCGAGCGCGUGGAACACGAUGGGGACGCCGCAGCGGCCGCACGCGCAGUCUUGUCCGCGCUCGGCGACGACGUGAACGGGCGACGCGUGACCGGCGACGUAUCGCACCACGUCGAGUCGUCCGCGCCGCGCGGCGCGCUCGCACGUCUCCCAGCGAAGGACGCGGUCGCCCUGCGUCUCGAGCGCCCAUCGCAGCGUCGCGACGUCGCCGUUCUCGGCCGCGAUGUGGCGCACGCGGUCGACAUCGAUCGGGCAGCGCAAGCGCGUUCGCGCGUGCUUCAGCACGGGCAGGUUCCCCCGCACGGACGCGCACGCCUCGGCGACGGACUCGGUCCACGGGCACCCGUCCUUCUUCGCCCACGACAGCAUCGCGACGGAGCCGACGAAGUCCUUCACGCGGAGGUCGGCGCGCCGCGCCGGCGCGCGAGCUCGCGCGGCCUCGCGCGCGCCCUUGGAGACGCGCGCGAAGAGGAACAGCGACGUCGGGUCGAGCCCGGAGAGGACGAGCUCGAGGACGUCGGAGGGGAGGACGCCGAGCCUCGGCCCGAGCGAGGACGGCGGCUCGGAGGUGUAUCGCCCGCUGCGCGUCUUCAUGCGCGCGGGAGCGAGACGGCGGCGCGAGAGCGCGGGGCGUGGCGCGCGCGCGCGGAGGAGGAGUGCGCGCGUCCGCGCGUCUCGCUUCCGGAAGAGGGACAAGAGCGAGAAGAGUUUCCUCGACGCGGCCGCCAGCUGUGCUCGAACACUACAGAAACAGAAGGACUAUCCUAUAGACUAGGCUAUCUACUCUCACCGACAACGACUCGUGGAUGCUCGCGAGCGUCUCCUGAUCGGCGACCUCGCGGUGGCGCGCACCUCGGGAACGUACGCCGCGCUCGUCCCUCGCGCGGACGGCGCUGGUAUGGACGACAGCGCGAGCGACGCGACGCCGCGCGUCACGUCGUCGUCGUCGUCGUCGUCGUCGCCGUCGUCGUCGCUCGUCUCUACUCCUUCGUUCGCUCGGAUCGCCGCGACGAGUUCGACGAGCGCUGGAUUCGCGUCGCGCCACUCUCGAUGAUCCAUCUUCAGCGUGUCCUCGUCGAUCCACGCGCACUCGUCCUUGCUGCGAGUGUCGUCCUGCCACCCGUCGUGUUCGACCUCUUCGCCGUCGUGCUCGAACCCGACGACGAGUCUCAAAUCGCUCCAUCGCGCGACGCGCAGCCUCACCCUCGACACGUCGAACGCGUCGCCUUCGAUCUCGAACGCGGUCUCGAACGCGCCCUUCACGAAAUGCUGCGCGUACACCACCACGCCGUCGCCUUCGUAGCGCGGCGUCUCUUCUUCGCGCGCGACGAGAUCGUCGGAACCCAACUCGAGCUCGCCGAGCGUCUCCUCCUCGUCGCCGACGACUUUCGCGAACUCGAUGACGUUCUGGUCCGCGAACUCUGGAGCGUUGAGAUGCACGAGGUCGUCGAUGUCGUAAAACUCUGGCACGCGCAGACGCUCUGGAAUGUUCCACGCGUCGUCUACGUCGCCGCCCCACCCCACGCCCAGAGAGUGCACGCAUCGCGUGAACAGCGCCUCGCCCAUCUCCAACCAGAAGUGUCCUUGCUCCUGCGUGAUCGUUCCCACGACGUGCUCGCCGCCGUAGCGCGACGCGCGCGCGACUAUCCGCGUCAUGACGCGGAUACAGUACGUCGUCUACCGCAUCUCGCUCAGCCCGCGCCGCGCCGCUUCUUCACGGGGAAACCCGGCGGUGCGUGGCGAUGUGUCGUCGUCGGACGACCUCGGACGGUUCGAAGAGGACGAAACUUUAGCGAAGGUUCAACUCCGGUCCGUCACUCACACGCGCACGCGCACGCGCCGGACGAUGCCUUCGACCGCGCCGCCCACCGCGCGUCGCCGCUAGAAGGACCAACCCUCCUCCCGCCUCGCCUCCGCCCGGCGGCGGGCAUGUCGUCCUCGCACCACGACGCGCGCCCGCCGCACUCGCGCCUCUUCGUCGUCUGCGGCCGCGGCGUGCGCGAGGACGAGCUCGAGAGUUUCUUCGCCGCGCACGGCGAGAUCCAGUCCGCGCGCGUCGUCGAGGCCAAGGGCGUCGCGUACGUCAAGUUCGCGCUCGCGUCGUGCGCCGCGCGCGCGGUCGAGACCCUGCGCGACGCCGGCGACGGCGACGGCGACGGCGGCGACGGCGGCGGCGAGGUGGGCGCGUCGUGCCGAGCGUUCCUCGGCGGAUGCGAGCGAUCGCUCCGCGUCCUCGUCGCGGACGACGGCGGAGGGAACGACCGCGCGACGGCGGCGGCGGCGGCGGCGACGAACAGCGGCGGCGGCGACGGCGCGUCCGUCUCCGAGCGCGAGCGCGGCGGCGGCGGCGACCUCGCGCUCGACCCGGACGACGACCCGCCGCGGUCGCGCCUGUUCGUCGUGUGCCCGAAGGGCACGACGCACGACGUCGUCUCCGGCGCUUUCGCGGAACUUUUACGCGGAUUCGCGGAUCCGUCGGAGGACGCGGAUACCGUCUUGACCAGCGUGCGCGUCGUCCCGCACAAGGGCGUCGCGUUCGCGAAGUUCGCGCGGUCGUCCACGGCGCUGCGGUGCAUGGAGGCGGUCGCCGCGAGCGGGACCCUGGGCGGCGUGCGCGUAAAGUGCAUGCUCGCGGAGCGAAAGUCGACGACGGCGGCGGCGAUGGCGGCGGCGGCGGCGGCGACGGGAGGCGCGACCCCCGCGGGGUCCAACAGCAGCCAGCACACCCCGGCCGCGUCCGGCGGGUCCGCCCGCGAUGCCGCCGCCGCGGGGGGCGCGGGCGCGGGCGCGACGUCCGCCUCCCGGGUUCGACCCGCGAGCAGGUUCACGCGCGCGGGGAGCGAGGACCGCGGCGGCGGGCUCUCGCCGAAGCGUCGCCGCGGCGGCCUCGGCGGGAGGAAGCCGCCGUCGCCCGCGAGCAGCGCGGAGAGCGGCGGGUUGGGCGGAAGCGGGAAGCAGCAGCACUCGUCGUCGCAUCCGCGGAGACAAGGGAGCGCCGGCGGGCCGUCGCCGCGGCCGCCGCCGCCGGACGGCGCGCCGCCCGCGCCCGCGCCCGCGGCGCCCGCGGCGGUUCCCGGCGGGGUGUUCUUAGGCGAGGCGUGGAUGGGCGCGGGGUCGGGCGCGAUGCGCGGGACGAUCGUGUUUCACCCGGAGAUGGCCUCGGGACCGGGGCUUCACGGCGGAGGCGAGUCGCACUCGCCCGCGAGCUCGGGCGGCGCGGCGCCGUCGCCGCAGCCGCGCCCGCCGCCACCGCCGGCGGCGUUUCCCGCGGGCGUCGUCGGCUAUCCCUUCCACGGCGGGUUCCCGCCGGCGCCGGCGUACGCGUACGGGUACCAACCGAUGCCGUGGCCGGGGAUGGGGAUGGGGAUGGGGAUGCCGCCGGUUCCGGCGCCGCCGCUGCCGCCCGGGGCGCCGCCGUCGCCGGGCGACAGCGGCGGUCCGUCGCCGCCGCCGCCGCUCCCGAGAGGCGCGCCGCCGCCGUCGCGCCGACUUCACCGACAUCCUCAAUCGCACGCUCAGCACGCUCAACCGCCUCAGCCUCGACCGUCGCACCGCGUCUUCGUCGUCCUCGACAAGUCCGCGACGCGAGAGACGCUCCUCGAGACGUUCAACGCGAGGGAGUGCGCGGGCGUGGAGACCAUCUCGCUGAAGACGGACGCCGCGGGGAAAUCCCGGGGGUUCGCCUACGUCACCUUCGGCACCGCGGAGGACGCCGCGGACGCGAUCGCGCGCGUGGACGGCGCGGAGAUUCCGCCGGGAAGCGGGAAGAGAGCGAAGGUGAUGCCCGCGGAGGAGCCCGGGUCGCGGCGAGGCGGCGGCGGCGGCGGCGGCGGCGGGACGAUGACGACGACGACGACGACGACGACGACGACGACGAGACCCGCCGCGAAGGAUGCGCACGACGAAGACGACGGCGGGGGGUUGCGGCGGCAGCGACCGGACGACGACGACGCGCAGAGCGUGCAGCCGCCGCCGGGGAAGUACUCGCGGCUCAUGGACAGCGGCGUGCGAGGCGAGGGAGGCGGCGGCGUGGGCGGCGGCGCGGGCGAGGACGAGGACGACGGCGAGGACAUCGAGGACGGACCCGAGGCGGCGUCCGGCGGCGGCGCGCGAAACAUGCACCCCGGCGACAGCAGCGGCGACGACGAGGACGACGACGACGACGACGACGCGAAGGCGCCGAGGGGCGAGACCGCCGACGUCGCCGGCGAAGACGAAGACGAAGACGCCGACGCCGACGCCGUCAAAGAAGAGAUCGACGAGACGACGACGGCGACGACGACGACGGUGGAUCUGGAAGCCCCCGGCGACGUCGCGCUCGCGAUGCGCGCGGUAUCCCUCGCGCCGCCCGCGCCGCCCGCGCCGCCCGCGCAUCCCGCGCAUCCCCGACCCGGAUCGCUCUUCUUCUCGCUGUCGCUGCCGCUCCCCGCGCACGCGCUCCGGCACGUCCUCGCCGCGCACGGGUCGCUGACGUCGCUCGAGAUGCGCGACGACGACCGCGGCGGCGCGGCGACGUACGAAGAUCCGAACGACGCCGCGGCGGCGUGCGAGGCGUUGGACGGAACCGACGUGUUGGGGAUCGCGCUCAGGGUGUCGUCCGAGCCGAUCGCGGCGGAGGAGGAGGGCGAGAGAGAGGACGACGCGGACGAGGAUGGGGCGAAAAAUAAGGAGAAGGACGACGCGGGGGCGGGCUCGGACGGAGAGAGGGAGAAAGAGAGGACGAAACCUCCGGCGGCGGCGGCGGCGGCGGCGGCGGCGGCGGCGCAACCGAAGAAACGCGCGCGGCGAUAGAGAAACGACCGACGAAAAACAAAACAAAGCGCAACUUCGACUACUCCGGUCGCGCUUCCCCGUCGCGACGACUCUUCUCUUCGACUUUAACCCCUCCGACGAGCGCCCACGCGCGAUCGAGCUCACGCUGCAGCGUCUCGGAUCGAGCCCUCAACGCCUCGGACCUCUUCUUUUCCACCGUCGCCGCCGCCGCGUGCGUCGUCAUCUCCAUCUCGAGCGCGCGGACGCGGGCGUUCGCCUCGCGCAGCGCGAUGUCGAGAACGUCCACGUUAAGCUCGCGGCGAUCCAGGAGGAUUUCUUUGCCGUCGCCGCCGUCGCCGUCGCUUAUCCGCGUUCGGAGGGUUCUACGGCGCCCUCGCGAACGGGUUCAUCACCGUCUCGCACGUGAUAGGGCUGCCUCGAUUCUUUUGGUUGCUCGCCACGGAUUCUCGGAAGACGCCGCCGGAGGUGUACGAGGACGGGAGGGAGCCGCCGGGAGCGACGACGGAGGAGGUGGAGGAAGAAAACGAGAAGGCGAAGGCGAAGGAGGAGGAGACGGAAGAGGAAGAAGAAGCGGACGCGAAAGCGUCCGCCGUCCAAAAAGUGUUGUGAGACGACGUAAUGGUUCCCAUACGACCGCGUUGGCGUGGUGAACGCCGUUCCUUAAGGACUUUUCCCGUCGAUUCUCUCCGCCCAAAGACAUAGUCGCGUCGUGUACCUUACGUGCUCGUCCGUCGUCGUCGACCCUACGCGCGUCGUCCCAGCGUCGCCACCCGCGGCAGCGCGCGCGCGCCCGGGCUCCGUUUCCCCCCGCUCCCCGGCCGCGGCGACUCUCUCAGAGCGCGCGCCACCGCCGCCGCCGCCGCCGACGCCGCCCCGCUCCUCUCCGACGCGUCCCUUCGCGCCGCAGCCCUCGCCGCGGGCCCGACCGUCCCGCCGACCGUCCCUGGCAUCCCCGUCCCUGGCAUCCCGAUCCCCGGCGUCGCCGCGCCCAGCCCACUCGCGGCGCUCACCGGCGCGCGCAUGAGCUCCUGAUACAAGUUAUACCCCGUCGCGCACGCCGUGACGAGCAGCGGACCGAGCACCGCGCCCUGCAGCGCCGGGUCGAACACGCACAUCCCGCCGACGACGGACAGACCGACGACGUACGGGUGCACGACGCGUAUCUCGCUCUGGUAGAUGUCGAUGUCGACGAAUAUCAGCGUGAUCCAGUGCAUCAACACGAGCGCGGCGGCUUUCGCGCCCUCUCCCUUGGCGAGGAGUCCGAGCGCCGCGGGGAGAGAGACGGACCACGACGCGAGCAGCGGGAGGAUCGCGGUGAGCCCGGACGCGAGCGUGGACGUGUACACGAAGUGCACGCCGAACGCGCGGAACGUGACCCACGUGAACGCCGCGUGAAACAGCGCGAGCUUGACGCACGACACGAAGACGCCCCUGACGCCUCUCGUCAGCGACUUCACCGCGACCUCCUUGACGUGCGCGUUCACCGGGAUCAGCUCCACGAGCCUCACCGCGGGGUCGGCCUCGCUGUUUAGGAUGUGGAACAACACGGUGAAAAACACGACGGAUUUCAAGACGUAGCUCAGCACGCCGCCGGCGACGCCGAAGACGCUGAAGGACGCCCUCGCGGCCCAGGACGUGACCUGCGCGAUGCCGCGGCCGCCGCCGGCGACGAUGUCCGCGGCGCGGUCUUGGAGCGCGUUUCUCGCGGCGGACGCGACGCGCAGGACGUCGUCCACGGACGCGGACGCGGCGCCCGCGCCGGCGGCUUUUCCUCCGCGUUUUUUGCCGCCGCCGCCGCCGCUGAAGCCGAAGAGCCGCCGGACGCCGCCGCCGCCGCCGCCGCCGCCGCCGCGCGCGCCUCCCGCCCCCUUCGCGCCGCCGCCCGCUCCCGCCGCGAUCUCCGCGCCGACGUCCACGAGGUGCGAGAACGCGCCGGCGACGUCGCCGCCGCGCAGCACGCGCCCGGCUUCCUUCAACCCCGCCGCCCACCGCGACGACGACGCGCCGCCGCGACUCAUCAUCGCGCCGCCGCCGCCGCGUCUCCCUCCUCUUCUCUUACCGUUACCGUUACCGUUUAGACCCCCUUCCUCGCCGCCCGACUCCAUCAGCUCCGCGUACAUCCCCUGCAUGCUCUCCCACAGCUCCGUGACGUUGCACCCGGGGAAGACGUCCUCGAGGUGCGCCUGCGCGUACGUCAGCGCGCGCGGCCACUGCUUCUCCACCGCCUCACUCCACGCCUUGACGCCGGCGUCGACGACGCCGCGCACCGCCGGCGACGAAUACCUGGCGUAUACGCCGCCGCCGCCGCCGCCGCUCGCGGACGAAUACCCGUGCACCAUCGAGCGGUGCGCCUCGACGACCGCGUCGCCGCUCUCGCGCGCGAUGUUCACCGUGAAGAACGUCGCGACGACGGCGAGGAGAAAGACGCCGACGGCGAUGAGCGACGCCGCGACGAUGGGGUUAACGGACGCGAUCAGCGCGCGUCGAAUCUUCGCAUCCGCGGCGAGGUACGCGCGGAAGACGCGCCCGCUGGUUCUGGUUUUUUUGUGACUCGAAAUCGCGCGCCUCGGCGUGGGCGUCGUUUUGGAGGAAGAUGAACCGUCGCGAACGACGGAAGAUGAACCGUCGGCUCUUUCGGGCCCGGGCGCGAUGCACCGCCGCGUGGACGACGCGAUCGCGACGGCGGCCGCCGCCGCGACGAACGCCACCGCGGCGAGCGCGGCGAUCGACGCGGUCAGCGCCCAGUCCCUCGACGCUAGCUUCCACACCUCCAACGAGACGCCCACGGUCGCGAGCCACUUGAAGUGAAACGUCGACGCGGAGGACGGCGCGCGCGCCGUCGCCCUCUUAGUUGCUCUCGCGGCGGCGGCGCGUCUCGACAGCGGCGACGCGGGCGCGGACGCGGGGGCCCGGGCCCCGCGCGUCCCCCCCGCCAGCCCUCCCGACGCCGUCUCGUUCAGAUGACGCGCCGUCGCGGCGUCCAUCGCGCGUAACGCCGCCCUCGCGGGCGCGACGACGACGGACGUCGCGAGACCGAGCAGCGUGUUCUCCGCGAGCGUCCUUCGGAGACGGCUCGCGAGCGCUACUUUUACGUCGCGCAGCGCGAGAGAGACGAGGAGCGCCCAGAGCAUGGGCGACCGGAAGUCCGCGAGGAGGCGCCACAUGAGGACGACGAGGCCGACGCCGAGGAGGAGGAUCGCGUUCCCGACCGCGUUGAAGAGCCCGACGCGGAAGAGCGCCUCGUUGUUCGCCUGCGUCAGCCCGCCGUCGCCCGCCGCGUGAUGCGCGAACGGCGUCGACGGCGUCGUCGUCGCAUUCGAGACGAUCGAGGUCGUCGUCGCGGACGUCGUCGGCGUGGGCGGGAGGUCGAAUCGCACGCCGCCGGCGUCCGCGGCGGCGUCCUCCCCCGCGUCUUCGCUGAGCCGGCGACGCAGCCAUCCCCCGAUGUUGCCGCCGCCGCCGCCGCCGCUCUUCGUCGAGGCGGACGACACGAGAUCCGGGGCGUUGUUGGCGCUCAUCGCACGAUGCGUCGUCGUCGCGCGCGGCGUGGUCUCCGGCGGCGAGAGCGCGCCCGCGGCCUGCCCCGUCGCCCGGCGCGUCAGCACGCUCUCCGGCGUCGUCGUCUCGCGCCGCGCGUGCUGCCGCGCGGCGACCUUCCCCGCGGCGUCGUCGAGCGCCCCCAUCGCGCGCGGCGCUCUGGUGCUACAGUUCAAAAUGCGAGACGAGCAGCUCGCACUCAUCAUCAACGACUCCGCCGGUCUCGUCAUCUUCAGUCGUCACCGCGCCGCGAUCGCGAUGGCGCCGCGGACGAUCAUCGACGCCGGUCCCGGUCUUCACGUCGACGCGCUGCAGAUCACGCCCGAGUACGUCGCGUGCGUCGCGUCCAAGUUCACCGGUCGCCUGUGGCAGGGCUACGUCCGCGCGCGCGCGGUGGGCGACGAUCCAUCAUCAGACGGCGUCGUCGGUCCGUCAGCGUCGUCGUCGGAGGCGACGCCCGCGAAGACGACCGCCGGGAUCGCGACGCUCGCGGCCGUGGGCAACAGCGACUUCGUCACCGGCAACGACGCGGGCGUGAUCGAGCAGUGGCGCGUCGUCGACGGCGCCGUCGCGCGCGUCGACGCCGCGCGCGCGCACGACGGUGCCAUCACCGCGGUCGCGCACGUCGCGCCGUCCUCGCUCGUCACCGGCGGCGUCGACGGGAGACUGCGAUGGUGCGAGCUGACCGCGCUGGACGUCGCGACCGCGACGGUGCAGCGCGCGCACGUCAGCGCGGUCCUCGCGAUCGCGGUGAACCCGAGCGAUCCCUCGCUCGUCGCCACGAGCGGCGAAGACGGCGUCGUGAAGGUGUGGAAGGUGAAGGCGGCCGCGGGAGACGGCGACGGUACAGCUCGCGACAGCUGUCAGCUGUCGGCGGCGCGCGCGGGCGCCGACGUCAGAGACGACAUGGGCAAAGCGCACGCGCUCGCGUGGUGCGGCGACGACGUCCUCGCGGUCGGGUACGAGCGCGGCGAGAUCGUCCUCUUCGAGACGACCGCGCUGGACGCCCUGCGCACGCGCGCGGUCGUGGAGGCGCACGGCGACGCCGUCAGAGGGCUCGCGUGGGACGACGUCGGGAAGCGGCUGGCGUCGUGCGGCGACGACGGCGUCGUCGCGAUUCACGCGGGGGAGGUGCCGCGGUCGACGAGGGAGGCGAAGCGGCACGACGGGGCGUACGUGAGGUGCGUCGCGUGGGGGCGGGUCGAGGGAGGGGGGGAUGGGGAGGACGAGGUGGUCAGCGGCGGGUGGGACGGCGAGGUGAAGGCGGGAUGAUCGUCUCGACGACGAGGUGCGCGCGCGCGUCGUUGGCUAUAAGAUACGCGAUGAUUCGUUUCGAUUCGAUCCGUUUCGUUUAGUUUCGCUCUCGAGUUUUCGUGAUAUUAAAUAACACUCUGAGAGGCUGCGAUCUUGUGUUUUUUGUAUCGCAAAAAAUUCUCUUCGCUUCGUCGCCGCGCGCGCGCGGCCGCGCUCGCGACCGCCCGCGGCGGGACCCCUUUGGGGGGACGCCGCCCGCUUCGCGCCCGGUCGCGUCCCGCGACCGGGCGCAACGUUCCUAAAUCAAUCUCAAUCCGCGUGAGACGUACCUAGUAGCAGUACCGUAAUAAUCAUCCGCCCGAUGCAUGCGGAGGCGUCGGCCGCCUCGCAAACCGCGUCGCCGCCGUUCCGACUCGUCAGUCAUCGUUCGGUCGAAAAAAGAAUCGUCGCCGCCCGAUUCGUCUUCUUCUUCCAUUUCAUCUUCCGUUCAUUUCCUUCCAUCUCCACCACGCCUUCUUCUUCAUCGUUCGUUCAUCCAUCACGCCUUCUUCGACAAAAACCGUCACCACCGCGCGCUCGUCGCCGCCGCCGCCGCGCGCGUCCUUCACCGCCGCCGCCGCGAUGCAAUUUACAGCGCGAUCGGCUUCUCCCAGGUGAAGACGUCGAAAUCCGUGCGGCCGAAGUGCCCGUACGCCGCCGUCUGCUGGUACCGGUUGUUCGCCCCGGACGUCUUGGACGCCGAACGCUUGAGGUCGAGGUCGCGCCCGACCGGACCGGGGCGGAAGUCGAUCGCAGCCUUCACCUUGGCGAGGAUCUCGUCGUCCGGGAUGGUCCCCGUGCCGUACGUGUCGACGAACACGGAGAGCGGAUCCGGGACGCCGAUGGCGUACGACAGCUGCACGAUGCAACGCUUCGCGAGCCCGGCCGCGACGACGGACUUGGCCGCCUGCCUGGAGAUGUACGCCGCGGAGCGGUCAACCUUCGUGGGGUCCUUCCCGGAGAAGGCGCCGCCGCCGUGCGCGCCCCAGCCGCCGUAGGUGUCGAUGAUGAUCUUACGGCCGGUGAGGCCGGCGUCGCCGUCGGGGCCGCCGAUGGUGAACCGGCCAGACGGGUUCAGGUGGAAGAUGGUGUUCGCGUCGAGCAACGACGCGGGGAUGACCUUCUUGAUCACCUCCUCCAUGAGAUCCUUGCUGAUCUGCUCGUUGGUGACGGUCUCGUCGUGCUGCGUGGAGAUGAGCACGGUGUGGACGCGUUGCGGACGCAUGGCGCCGCCUUCGUUCUUGUACUCGAUCGUGACUUGCGUCUUGCCGUCGGGGCGGACCCACGGGCAGGUGCCGUUCUUGCGCACCUCCGUGAGCCUGUACCCGAUCGCGUUCGCGAGCAUGAGCGUCAUCGGCAUGAACUUGCCCUUGUACUCUUCGUACGCCUCGGACUCGUCGGUGGCGUAGCCGAACAUGAUGCCCUGGUCGCCGGCGCCGAUCUCUUCGAGCUUCUUCGUGCCCAUCCCGUGGACGCCUUGGCCGAUCUCCGGGGACUGGUCGUGGAGCUCGACGAGGACGCGGCAGUUGUUGCCGUCGAGGCCGACAGCCUCGGACGUGAACCCGACGUCGUUGCACACCUUGCGGACGACGGCUUCGUAGUCAACCUUGGCCUUGGUCGUGAUCUCGCCGAAGACCAUCACCAUGCCGGUUUUCGUCGCCGUCUCGCAAGCCACCUUGGAGUCGGGGUCCUGCGCGAGGCACGCGUCGAGGACGCCAUCGGAGAUCUGAUCAUGAUCGAUGGGUGGGUGGAUGGUGUGUUUGUGGGGGAGGGUAGAUGAGUAUCGAUGUGAGAGGAAGAUGACGCGGAAGGGGGGGAAGAGGAGGAGGAGGAGGAGGAAAGAGAAUCAUCCCAACCCCGCUGAAAGAGAGAAAGAAAAAGCGAGAGAGGGUCGAACGAGCAGCCGCGCGCCGCCCGCUCGGCCAGCCUGCCAGCUGUGUGCGAGCGAACGAACGAAUGUGUCUCGACGAUCGAUCGCCGCGCGCCGCGCACCUGGUCCGCGAGCUUGUCGGGGUGACCCUCGUUGACGGACUCGGAGGUGAAGAAGAAGGUGGAACCGUCCUUGGACGCCAUUGUCGCUGCUGCGGGGCGGGGGACGGGGGAUGGGGGCGUCAGGCGGCGCGUAAGACGGAAGCGCGUGAGGUGCCGGCAUCUCACGCGAAGCGACGACGACGCGAAAAGCGCUGCAGAAACCCCGCGUCGUCGCGGACGCCGGGAAACGUCUCGCGUCGUCCACGGGACCCCGCGGACGCGCGCGCGUCCACUCCGCGCGUCGCGCGAGGCGUCGCGAGGGAGCGCGACGGCCCCCGCGACGCGCGAUCGCGGGACGGACGCUCAUCCGAGGACGGCGCCGCGAUCGAUCGUUCGAUCGUUCGAUCGAUCGCGAGAAGAACGAAAUCGCGCGGCGCGACGGCGGCCCGGGGACGCGCCGCCGCGCGCGCGUCGCGCCGCCGCCGCGAGUCGCGACGACGGCGCGCGCGACAUCGCGCUGCCGGGAAGACGCACCUUUGUGUUACGAAAGCGGGGGGUGCUCGUGUAGCGUGCGUGAGAAGUGAUGAUGAGGGUGGAGACCGCGCGCGUCGAACGAAGCGCCGGACGACAGAGCAAGACAGCGAGAGCUGUGGACCGCUGAUUCCGGGUGCGUUCGGAGAGAAACGGCGUGCGGUCGAUUGAUCGGAAGGGGUCUGGAGAUCUCGUAUGAAAUCGAAACCAUUCGGACUUCCUUCACCCAUCACAGACGUCUCACGGUCUAAGAAAGUUAAUAAUUCCAAAAAGAUGCUUACCUGUCACAUCAUCCAAGGGAAUGGAAUGCGUACCGUUUCGCCCUGUACUUCUAGUGAUCGAUUAGGCACUGCCUGCGUAGGUUCGAGUCCUGCCGAGUGCGAGAUGGUUCUUCGGAGCCGUCGUUUACCUCAGAUAUGGUGUUCUUCUCUUCGGAAGCAUCAUGAGCACUCGUGCCCGAGCGGUUAAGGGGAUCGACUAGAAUGACGUUUUUUUGCAUUUUUACACAACGGAUCUGGUUCUACACGACAUGAGGAACAUUUCCGCAAAGUUUCAGGUCAAAAGGAGCAGUUUUGAGGCGACCGUGCUCGCGUCAGCAGCAUGGUGCAUGUCGUUUUGGGAAAAAAAAAAAAAUGAGCUUGAGCCUCUCUCGCUCUAGUAUGAAAUCAUUUUCGCGCUUUCAAACACGCCAAUGAAUUGACCGGUCAAAUCGUCCCGAACGCAAAACGGACAAAACGCCCCCGCGAUCUGCGUCACUCGCCACACGCGCGGGACGACGGCGCGUCCUCUUCAUCCUCUUCCUCCUCCUCCUCCGCGGCCUCGUCCCCGCGACGCGACGCGAUGUCGUCUCCGAGGCGGAUGAACAGCGGGGGCGUCGACGAGUUCGCGGGGAACGUAUCGACUUCCCCAGAUCUCAACCUCCUGGAACGAUUCGUCGAGGACGCGCCCGACGUCUUCGCCGCGCACGUGCUCCCGCGGCUCGUCAGCGGCGACCUCGCGGUGCUCACGACGGUGAACCGGAAGAUGCGCGACGUCGUGUUCGAAUCGCCCGUCGACCAUGACGUGAGGGACGUCGCGGCGGUGAGGAGAGAGCUCGCGAGGGUGCCGAACUUCGUCGGGUCGAUCAGCAGGUUGGCGUGGGCGAAGGAGCGAGGGUGUCCGUGGGAGGAGUCGACGAACCGACGAGGAUUUUGGAAGACGACGUUCGGGUGCAUCGCAGUGGGCGGGAACGUGGAGGUCGCGGAGUGGGCGCGCCAGAACGGAUGUCCAUGGAAUGAGCGGACAUGCGCCUGGGCCGCGAAACGCGGCAACCUGGAGUUGCUGAAGUGGGUGCGAGCGAACGGCUGCCCGUGGGACGAGAAUACGUGCGUCUUUGCCGCGAAAGGUGGCCACCUGGAGGUGCUCCAGUGGGCGCGCGCGAGCAAACCCCCAGCACCGUGGGACGAGAGGACUUGCGCCGGAGCCGCGGAUGGCGGCCAUCUGGAGCUGCUGCAGUGGGUGCGCGCGGAAGGCUGCCCGUGGGACUACAAUACUUGCGAAUGGGCCGCGAUGCGCGGCCACCUGCAGAUGCUGCAGUGGGCGCGAGCGGAAGGCUGCCCGUGGGGCGAGUACACUUGCUCCGGGGCCGCGGCAUUCGGCCACCUGGAGGUGCUGCAGUGGGCGCGCGACAACGGCUGCCCGUGGGGCAAGGAGAUUUUCGCCGACGCCGCGGAAGGCGGCCACCUGCACGUGUUGGAGUACAUGUUGGAGUGGGAACGAGAGAACGAACCCCUAGCUCCGUGGGCCGAGGAAAUGUGCGUCGAAGCCGCGUCUGUGGGCGACCUGGAGAUGCUGCAGUGGGCGCGCGCGGAAGGCUGCCCGUGGGACGAGAGGACUUGCGCCGAAGCCGCGAUGGGCGGCCACCUGCAGAUGUUGCAGUGGGCGCGCGCGAACAGCGCUCCGUGGGACGAGAGGAUUUGCGCCGGGGCCGCGCGAUAUGGCCACAUGGAGGUGCUGCGGUGGGCGCGCGCGAACGGCGCUCCAGAGUAAUGUGACGACCAGCAGAGAACGCGAUUGUAACGAAAGAACGGACGAACGAACGAACGAACGAACGAACGCGGACGCACUCGAAUACACUGCCGCGCGCGGCGACGGACGCUCUUUCUCCUCCCAUCUUCGAGACGUCCCUCCGCCGCGGUAAGUUCGACGAGUCCAGGAAGCUCUCCGACGGCUCCCUCAUGGAGUUCGCGAAGGUGUACCCCAUGGACGCGGUCUACGACACGAUGGACGACGUUCCCGAGGACGUCCUCGCGAACAAGCGCUACGCCGGGACCCGAGAAAUUGAAAAAAAUACAUGCAGUGUUCAGCCUCUCUCGCGAGCACUGACACAAGUCGUCGCCCUCGCGCCGCGAACGCCACGCGCCGCGAACCCUCCUCGCGACGCCGGCGCCCGGCCGUGGGAGCGGCGAUACGCCCUGUCCCUAGUCAUGGUGCGCGCGCGCGCGCUCGUUCACGCCGACCUCGAACGACCGACGGCGACGGCGUCAAUCGCAUUCGCCCGCGCCCCCGCCUUCAUCCCGAUUCAGCGCGACGACGACGACGACGACGACGCCCUCUGAUCCUCCGCCCCCCCAACCCCCUCGCUCGAUCUCAUCCCCAGGCGACGUUCUCCGAGAAGACGGCCGCGCUCAGGGCGGCGUACGUCGCGAACAUCAAGUCGCUCCCGCCGAUCAAGCCGCUGAUGGACGCGCUCGACGCGCGCGUCGAGGACGGCGUCGCGUUGACGCAAAUCGCGCUCAACGGGAACGGGAAGCUCCUCUUCAACGACCGCCCGAGCCGCGCGCACGUCGUCGCGCUGUGCGACGCGCUCGCGACCGACGACGUCGUGGAGAGGCUGGACUUGUCGUACAACUUCAUCGACGACGACGGCGCGGUCGCGAUCGCGAGGAUGCUGCGGAGGAACCGCACGCUCACCGAGCUGGAUUUGCGAGGGAACGACGUCGGACCGGCGGGCGCUGCCGCGCUGGCGGAAGCGCUCGCGGGGGUGCCGUGGGUGGAGGAGGAGGAGGAGGAGGAGGAGGGUGCCGAGGGUGCCGACGACGCGGUGGAAGAGGACGGCGCGGAAGAAGAACCGGCCGCCGAGGCGGCGGCGGCGGACGAGAACGAGGACCCCGCGGCUGCGGCGGCGGCGGCUGAAGCGGAACCGCCCGCGAAACCGUCGCCGCCGCCGGUCGCCGGCUGCUCGCUCGUGACCCUGAACCUCGCCGGGAACCCCCUCGGCGUGGACGGCGGCGUCGCGAUCGGCGAGUCGCUCCGUUCGAACACCACGCUGAUCGACCUCAACCUGAACGACUGCUCGCUCGACGCGAAGGCGUUGAUCGCCGUGCUCACCGCGGUGAACGAGUCCAACGCGACGCUGCGACGUUUAUCGCUCGAGAACCCGCGGAUAUUCAGCGAACAAGAGGAGCACGCGUGGCACGCCGCGCGCAUGCUCGCGGUGAAUAAAACGCUGAAGAGCCUGAGAUGCGGGAAAUGGAAAAUCUACUCCACCGGCGUGGAGGUUCUCGCCGGGUACGGCGUCUGCGUGAACGAAUCCUUGGAAGUCCUCGACCUUCGGUGUAACAAAAUUUGCGAAGUCGGCGGCGCGUUCCUCGCGCGUAUCAUACGCGACAACGAAGGCCUGCGACGGAUCGGGCUCGACGCGAACGCGCUGAGGGACAACGGCGCGAUCGCGAUCGCGGACGCGAUGCCGGAGUGCGCGUCCGUCGCCGAGUUCGAUCUGCGGUCGAACGGGAUCGAAGACGCAGGGCUCUGCGCGCUCGCGAGGGGCGUCGCCGGCAUGCCGAGCCCGCCGGCGGAGGUUUUGUUGUGGGGGAAUCACUUCGCGGAGGCGUCGAGCAUCGCGUGGAGGGACGUUUUGGAGUAUCACGACAUCGUAACGGACGUGACGUUUCGGGUCGUGGACGGGGAGCUGCAGGCCGCGCGGGUGGAGCCGCCGGCGCCGAGUCGCGAGAGCUGGGGGUUGACGUGACGCGACGCGACGUUGGUUUGCGCUCGCGCCGAUGAAAAAUCGCUAUUAGCCCUCAGUAGUACAGUAUGAAAUUAUUUUCGCGCUUUCAAAAACACCGAUGAAUUGACCGGUCAAAUCGUCACCAUAACCAAGAAAACGCCUCGAGAUCUCGCCCCGUCUCGUCACUCGCCACACGCGCGGGACGACGCCACCACCUCCUCCUCCUCCUCCUCCUCCGCGGCCUCGUCGCGAAGUUCUCUCUGACCCCGCGACGCGAUGUCGCCUUCGCGACCGAAGAAGUGCGCGCGUCUCGUAGGCGCCGGCGACGAGACCAUGAGCGCGAAAGUCCUUAAGGAUCGGCGUUCACCACGCGAACGCGGUCGUAUGGGAACCAGUGUAUAGAACGCACCUAACGGAUCGUCUUCCGUCGACCUCGACGACGACGCCCCGCCCCUGGAACGACUCGCCGCGGACGCGGACGCGCGCGAUGUCUUCGACGCGAACAUCCUCUCGCGGCUCGACAGCGGCGACCUCGCGGUGCUCGCGACGGUGAGCCGUCAGAUGCGCGACGGCGUCUUCACGUCGCCCGUCGAGCAUGACGUGAGGGACCUCGCGGCGGUGAGGAGGGAGCUCUGGAAAAUGCCAAACUUCGUCGGGUCGGUCGGCGGGCUGGCGUGGGCGAAAGAGCGAGGAUGUCCGUGGGAGGUGACGAAGUUCGCGCUGCGAUGUUGGACGUACUCGAGGGCAGGAUAUCCGCUCCAGAAGAAGACGACGUUCGGGUGCAUCGCAGCGGGCGGGAACGUGGAGGUCGCGGAGUGGGCGCGCCAGAACGGACUUCUAUGGAAUGAGUGGACAUGUGGACAGUGGACAUGCGACAACGCCGCGGAAGGCGGCCACCUGGAGAUGUUGCAGUGGGCGCGAGCGAACGGCUGCCCGUGGGACGCGAGGACUUGCGCCCACGCCGCGGAAGGCGGUCACCUGCAGAUGCUACAGUGGGCGCGCGCGAACGGCUGCCCGUGGGACGAGGAGACUUGCGCCCACGCCGCGAAAGGCGGCCACAUGGACGUGCUGGAGUGGGCGAGAGCGAACGGCUGCCCGUGGCAUUGGAGCACUUGCGAAUAUGCCGCGGAAGGCGGCCACCUGGAGGUGUUGAAGUGGGCGCGCGCGGAAGGCUGCCCGUGGGACAAGGAGACUUGCACCGCAGCCGCGUAUGGCGGUUACCUGGAGAUGUUGCAGUGGGCGCGCGCGGAAGGCUGCCCGUGGGACGUGGAGACUUGCACCGAAGCCGCGAGAGGCGGCCACCUCGACGUGCUUAAGUGGUUACGAAUGAACGAAGCUCCGUGGAACAACUGGACUUGCGCCAAUGCCGCGAAAGGCGGCCACAUGAGGAUGCUGCAGUGGGCGCGGGCGAACGGCGCUCCGUGGGACGAGCGGACUUGCGCCGAAGCCGCGGGUGGCGGCCAUCUGAAGGUGCUUAAGUGGUUACGAAAGAACGAAGCUCCGUGGAACGCGACGACUUGCGCCCUCGCCGCGUAUGGCGGCCAACUGGAGGUGCUGCAGUGGGCGCGCGCGAGUAAACCCCCAGCUCCGUGGGAUGAGGGGACUUGCUACUGUGCCGCGGGUGAAGGCCACCUGAAGGUGCUGAAGUGGGCGCGCGCGGAAGGCUGCCCGUGGGACGAGAGGACUUGCGCCAACGCCGCGAAAGGCGGUCACCUGGACGUGCUGCAGUGGGCGCGCGCGGAAGGCUGCCCGUGGGACGAGAGUACUUGCGCCGAGGCCGCGGAAGACUUUGGUCACCUGGACGUGCUGGUGUGGGCGCGCGCGAACGGCGCUCCUGAGUAAUGUGACGACUAGAGAACGCGCUUGUAACAAACGAACGAACGAACGAACGAACGCGGACGCACUCGAAUACACUGCCGCGCGCGGCGUCGAAAAUGACAAAAAUACAAGUGUGUGCUGGAGCCGCGAGAGCUGGGGGUUGACGCGGCGAAUGUUAAACGCGCUGUCGGGUAGGAGUCAUAUAAACAUACACCAUCAAAUCAAACGCUUCGUUCGUGGGUGUUUAUUCGAGUCGAUCACAGCUCGUCCUUCGGCGUCGCGGGCGCGGUGGCGUCCUCGUCGUAGUCCUCCUCCUCCUCCUCCUCCUCCUCCUCCUCCUCCUCGAGCGCUUUGUCCGCGGCGGCUUCUUCCUCCGCCUUCGCGCGCGCGGCUUCUUCCUCCUUCGCCUUCUCCGCGGCGUGCGCCUCGUACAUCGCGCGCUCGCCUUCUUUGCUCGCGCCCCAGGUCUCCUCCGCGAACCGCGCGGCGUACGCCGCGUCGUCCGUCACGAGAACGUUAUCGAAGAUCGUCCCCGCGGUGACCUGCCACAGCUCGAACCCGACGUACCUCAGGUCCGAAAACUUAUACAACUCCGCCGCGUCGUCCGCGUUAUACGCCGGGUUCGGGAUCUCCGGCGCCGCCCACGCGCCCUUGUACGCCGGGUUAUCGAUCGUCUUCUGCUCCCACGCGCCCUUGUACUCCGGGUUAUCGAUCAUCGGCGGCUCCCAGUCGCCGUCCUCGUCGUCGUCCCAGUCUUCCGGUUUCGACGCCUCCGGGUCCGCGACGGUGGGCGGGACGUCGUCGUACCCCUCGGGUUUCACGUCGCUCUCGUCCGGGAUCGUCGCGCGGUCGUCCCAGUCCUCCGGCUUCGUCGCUUCCGGGUCCGCGAUCGUCUUCGGGGGUAAGAACUCGAAGUCUUCCUCCAGAGAUCCGCGCUCUUUCUCUUCGUUGUCGAUCAAGACCUCGUACGUGUUGUUCGCGUGCAGACGCAGCGUGUACACGUGCGUGAGCUCGUCCGUCUCGCACGGGAUCGUCUUCUUCACGAGCUGAUUGGUCCCCUUGGAAUCCGUGAGGAUGACGUGGACCCUGCGCGUCGCGUACCCGCAGAUGUCCGGGCCGAACAUGACGGCGUACGGCGUGUCUCCGCCGAACGCGGACGCGUCCGUCGUCGACGGCAACAAUUUGACGUACCCGCCGCCGCAGUCGAGCUUCUGCUCGUGCUUGGCGCUGAACUGAAGCACGAGCGACUUGCCUUCGUUCGUGAUCGUCUCGCCCAUGUCCGCGCUGAGGGCGUAGAAGCGCGCGUCCGCGGAGGUUUGAAUGCCUCUGUCCGCGUCCGCGUCGCCGUACCACUUCCCGCGCGUCAGCUCGAAGUCGCCGUCCUGGCCUUCGGAGGUCUUCCACGAGGACUUCGUCCAUCGGUCGCGCCAGCCGUCUGCGGGUGGACGGCGAGGAGGGAGCGGGAGGACGGAGGAGGAGGAGGAGGAGGAGGAGACGGUCAGGACGGGAUCGCGAGCGCGCGGGAAGCGAUCGCGGCGGACGCGAUGGAUGGAGAGCGGACGUCGCGAGAUCUUCCGAUCGAUUUAUCGAUCGAACGAUCGAUCGCGUUUCGAAGCGACGUGCCGCGAUCGAAGAAGCUCGAGCGACGGCGACGCGAGCGACGCGCGCGGGACGCACCGUCGAAUCGCUCUUCGAAGUACACCUCCGCGGAGACGACGGAGGCGAUCGCCGCGAGGAACGCGAGGACCGUCGCGAGCUUGAACAUGUCGAGAUCUGCGGGCGAGGGAAGCGGACGUCGCGCGCGACGAAGUGACGGCGCUGACGAGACGCGACAGCGACAGGACCUCUCAGCGAAACUGGAGGGACGCGGCGGACGUCGAUCUCGUCGACGAAGAAAGCCCGCGCCCCCCCCGCGCGUCGCCAUAAACCCUCGCGCGCC